rnacentral:snRNA from 1 species
AGCUUUGCACAGUGGCAGUAUUGUAGCCAAUGAGGUUUAUCCAAGGUGCGAUUAUUGCUAAUUGAAAACUUUUCCCAAUACCCCACCAUGAUGACCGGAAAUAUAGUCGGCAUUGGCAAUUUUUGGCAGUCUCUAUAGGGA